ACUUCAUCAUCACCACC
rnacentral:sRNA from 1 species